UGGGGAAUAUUGGACAAUGGGCGAAAGCCUGAUCCAGCCAUGCCGCGUGUGUGAAGAAGGUCUUCGGAUUGUAAAGCACUUUAAGUUGGGAGGAAGGGCAGUAAGCGAAUACCUUGCUGUUUUGACGUUACCGACAGAAUAAGCACCGGCUAACUCUGUGCCAGCAGCCGCGGUAAUACAGAGGGUGCAAGCGUUAAACGGAAUUACUGGGCGUAAAGCGCGCGUAGGUGGUUCGUUAAGUUGAAUGUGAAAGCCCCGGGCUCAACCUGGGAACUGCAUCCAAAACUGGCGAGCUAGAGUAGGGCAGAGGGUGGUGGAAUUUCCUGUGUAGCGGUGAAAUGCGUAGAUAUAGGGAGGAACACCAGUGGCGAAGGCGACCACCUGGGCUCAUACUGACACUGAGGUGCGAAAGCGUGGGGAGCAAACAGG
rnacentral:rRNA from 1 species